GUGCUCCCUUCGGCCGCACAUAUACUAAAGUUGGAAUUAUAUGGAGAAGAUUAGCAUGGCCCCUGUACAAGGAUGACAUCGAAAUUUGUGAAGUGCUCUAUAUUUUU
ensembl:snRNA U6 U6 spliceosomal RNA